UGCGUGGGCGCAAGCCUGACCGCCUGCCGCGUGAGUGAAGAAGGCCUUCGGGUUGUAAAGCUCUUUCGGCAGGAACGAAAUGGUACGUGCUAAUACCACGGACUGAUGACGGUACCUGAAGAAGAAGCACCGGCUAACUACGUGCCAGCAGCCGCGGUAAUACGUAGGGUGCAGGCGUUAAUCGGAAUUACUGGGCGUAAAGCGUGCGCAGGCGGUUUCUUAAGUCAGAUGUGAAAGCCCCGGGCUUAACCUGGGAACUGCGUUUGAAACUGGGAGACUUGAGUGUGGCAGAGGGGGGUGGAAUUCCACGUGUAGCAGUGAAAUGCGUAGAUAUGUGGAGGAACACCGAUGGCGAAGGCAGCCCCCUGGGCUAACACUGACGCUCAUACACGAAA
rnacentral:rRNA from 1 species